UUGAUCCUGGCUCAGAUUGAACGCUGGCGGCAUGCCUUACACAUGCAAGUCGAACGGUAACAGGUCUUCGGAUGCUGACGAGUGGCGAACGGGUGAGUAAUACAUCGGAACGUGCCCGAGAGUGGGGGAUAACGAAGCGAAAGCUUUGCUAAUACCGCAUACGAUCUCAGGAUGAAAGCAGGGGACCGCAAGGCCUUGCGCUCACGGAGCGGCCGAUGGCAGAUUAGGUAGUUGGUGGGAUAAAAGCUUACCAAGCCGACGAUCUGUAGCUGGUCUGAGAGGACGACCAGCCACACUGGGGCUGAGACACGGCCCAGACUCCUACGGGAGGCAGCAGAAGGG
rnacentral:rRNA from 1 species